CACGUGAGUAACCUGCCCUUGACUUUGGGAUAACUUCAGGAAACUGGGGCUAAUACCGGAUAGGAGCUCCUGCUGCAUGGUGGGGUGGAAAGUUUACGGCGGUUGGGGAGUGGACUCGCGGCUUAUCAGCUUGUUGGUGGGGUAGGUGGCUUACCAAGGCUUUGUACGGGUAGCCGGCCUGAGAGGGUGACCGGCCACAUUGGGACUGAGAUACGGCCCAGACUCCUACGGGAGGCAGCAGUGGGGAAUAUUGCACAAUGGGCGAAAGCCUGAUGCAGCCAUGCCGCGUGUGUGAAGAAG
rnacentral:rRNA from 1 species